CAAGCCAAAGAACCGUUCUGAAAGCCCGUUUCGAUGCCUCAUUCCAGCUGCCGAACCCAAAAAGCCCUGAAAAGCUGGUAAGUAGAUGAAUUAGUUGGAAUGAAACCUUAAAAAAGUAUGAAAAAUAUUAAAGUAACGUACCAACGUACUGCCAAUGAAUUGAUUUAACUCCGCUAUUUCUCGCACACAUCAACUUUUAUUUAAUACUUGUAAUUAUUAAAAGAACUAUAUAUCUAUAGACUGCAUAAAAAGGAAAAGGCAAAUUAGUUCAAAAUAGAAGAUAGGAGGGAUAUGAUGGAGAGAAUACUUUGACGGAAUUAAUUUGAUGAGUGAUGUGUGGAGAGCUUCGGCCAAUUAAUUUAAUUUAAUUCAAUUAAAUGCAUUUGAGAAACUUCAUCAGUUGCAAUAGUCUAUGACGAUAAAUGUAGAUACAAAAUCCGAACAGCAUAGCUACUAUAAAGUAUAGAAAGUGCCAAAUAUUCCACAUGCUCGCAGUUUCAUUUUCGUUGACCUCAUCUCGCAACUGGAUUGGUAAGGGGCGGGGAAUUUCAGAGUCUCCAUAAAUGCAAUCCAGAGUAACAUUCCUGCCCUAAUUUUCAAAUAAAUAAAUCAUUAUUAAUGCCAAGACAUUUUUUCUCCCAUUAAAUACCGUGUCGUAAAUCCUCUUCACCAUUGGAGUGCUCGGCCUGCACCUGAUUGGGUUGCCUUUGACUAUUGCCUGGGUGUUAACCAGGCCUAUAAUACUGUCAAUAUCGUCUGUUAGCUGGUUUCCGCUGAGGUUUAUGCUUUCCAGACCAAGCAUUGAUCCGAAGUUCCAUUGGGAGAGCAUUUCAAUGUUGUUAUUGGACAGAUCGAGGUGCUUCAAGUGCUGGAAACCGGUGUCAUUGAGCAAGCUGCCAAACAUUCAAAGUCCAGGCUGGGUUGAUUGGAGCAGUCCGCAGUCACAUAGCCAUCGUCUAGAAUCGGGCACUUACACUUCGAACUGAACUGGUCAGGAUUACAACAUCCUCUUGCCAGAAAUGCAAUGUAAAAUGCGAUAGUCUGAAAUGAACAUUUUUGGAAAUGAAUUGACUCAAGGAACAAUCAGACGUUAUCUCUAAAAGACUCCAUUAUUCAGGUACGCAUUACUGUCAUAGCCAAGAUCUGAUCAACCUGAACAAUAAUAUAUUACUUACAUCUCCACUCACUAUUGGGGAUCGAGGUCCACCAACGCUUGAGGUCGCACUCUCAUGGAAGCCUUUGCCACUCUAGAGCUACAACUUCUCAACACCGGAUCAGAGCACACCUUCUCCCGAGCUGGGUUGGGAUCUAUCAUCGACCUUACCUUCUGCAGCACCGCUCUCUUUGGGAGAACAGCGUGGGGACUCAGCAGCGCAUACACGGCUAGUGACCACAACGCUAUCAUCUGCAGCAUCGAGGCCCACCCACAAGGGACAGCUCUCCAACCAAGGACGACCUUCAAUGCCAGAACCCUCAGGCCGGAUAUCUUCUUGUCAGAGCUGAGCAUUCCCGAGGCCCCGGGAACCGCAGAGGACUGCGCAA